rnacentral:rRNA from 1 species
ACUGCUCAGUAACACGUGGAUAACCUGCCCUUGGGACCGGCAUAACCCCGGGAAACUGGGGAUAAUUCCGGAUAACGCAUAUUUGCUGGAAUGCUUUAUGCGUCAAAAGGAUUCGUCUGCCCAAGGAUGGGUCUGCGGCCUAUCAGGUAGUAGUGGGUGUAAUGUACCUACUAGCCAGCGACGGGUACGGGUUGUGAGAGCAAGAGCCCGGAGACGGAUUCUGAGACAUGAAUCCAGGCCCUACGGGGCGCAGCAGGCGCGAAAACUUUACAAUGCGGGAAACCGUGAUAAGGGGACACCGAGUGCCAGCAUCAUAUGCUGGCUGUCCGGAUGUGUAAAAUACAUCCGUUAGCAAGGGCCGGGCAAGACCGGUGCCAGCCGCCGCGGUAACACCGGCGGCCCGAGUGGUGAUCGUGAUUAUUGGGUCUAAAGGGUCCGUAGCCGGUUUGGUCAGUCCUCCGGGAAAUCUGAUAGCUCAACUAUUAGGCUUUCGGGGGAUACUGCCAGACUUGGAACCGGGAGAGGUAAGAGGUACUACAGGGGUAGGAGUGAAAUCUUGUAAUCCUUGAAGGACCACCAGUGGCGAAGGCGUCUCACCAGAACGGACCUGACGGCAAGGGACGAAAGCUAGGGGCACGAACCGGAUUAGAUACCCGGGUAGUCCUAGCCGUAAACGAUACUCGCUAGGUGUCGGCCACGGUGCGACCGUUGUCGGUGCCGUAGGGAAGCCGUGAAGCGAGCCACCUGGGAAGUACGGCCGCAAGGCUGAAACUUAAAGGAAUUGGCGGGGGAGCAC